rfam:Sus scrofa isolate TJ Tabasco breed Duroc chromosome 14, whole genome shotgun sequence.
UUGUGCCUCCUGGUUGCCGAGUAUUCACCUGGACCUUCUAACCACCUUCCUUGAGCUAUUCCAUCAGCCUUCAUAUCUGUACCUGGAAUUUUGCCCAUGGUGAUUCCUGCCACCUUACUACUGAAGAAGACAACCAUGCCAGUGAACCACUGUGACUCGAGGCAUCCAGCAAAUUUGAAUCAUCAUCAUGUGGCCUUCACCUCCACUCCUGUCCUGUUCUACCCAGAUUCAACACAGCCCUUUG